CAACAACAACAACAACAAAUACUACGUAAAAAGACUUGCAAAAAUCGAGAGUGAGCGGUAAAGUACCGCUAGAGUGUUACGCGUGGAAUACUAACGACAACAACAAUAACAACAGCAGCAACAGCAGGAGAAGGAGAAGGAGACAAAGCAGA